AGUCACGAGUUUGAUCCUGGCUCAGAUUGAACGCUGGCGGAAUGCUUUACACAUGCAAGUCGAACGGUAGAGGGGGCAACCCCUUGAGAGUGGCGAACGGGUGAGUAAUAUAUCGGAACGUGCCCAGUCGUGGGGGAUAACGUAGCGAAAGCUACGCUAAUACCGCAUACGAUCUAUGGAUGAAAGCGGGGGAUCGCAAGACCUCGCGCGAUUGGAGCGGCCGAUAUCAGAUUAGGUAGUUGGUGAGGUAAAGGCUCACCAAGCCGACGAUCUGUAGCUGGUUUGAGAGAACGACCAGCCACACUGGGACUGAGACACGGCCCAGACUCCUACGGGAGGCAGCAGUGGGGAAUUUUGGACAAUGGGCGAAAGCCUGAUCCAGCAAUGCCGCGUGCAGGAAGAAGGCCUUCGGGUUGUAAACUGCUUUUGUACGGAACGAAAAGGCUCUUUCUAAUAAAGAGGGCCCAUGACGGUACCGUAAGAAUAAGCACCGGCUAACUACGUG
rnacentral:rRNA from 1 species